UCCGAAGAACUUAAACAGGAUCCCCUCUGUAAUGGCGAAUGAACAGGGGCCAGCUCACGGUGGAAAUUGGGGCCUGCUAGGCCUUGAGUUGUAGUCUGUAGCUGCGUUGCCAAUGGAGGCGCACUUGUGAGCCCCUUGGAAGAGAGCACCGACGAGGGUGGGAGUCCCAUCUGUCAUUUGCAGACCUCUGUGCACGGCACGCCUUCGAGGAGUCGCGUUCUUCGGACGUGGAACGUGAAUUGGGUGGUAGAUUUCAUCUCAAGCUAAAUACUGAUUCAAGACCGAUAGAAGACAAGUACCGUGAGGGAAAGGUGAAAAGGACUUUGAAAAGAGAGUUAAAAGUGCCUGAAAUUGCUGGAAAGGAAACAAAUGUAACCAUAGCUGCUUGGCAAGAUUGUCGUGCGCCAAGGCAUCCCCAAGCGCGCGCGGUGCUUCUUACCUUGUGCGUCCACAUUACUUCAUGGCCAGGGAAACCUCAAGGCACGUGGUGGGCCUUCCUCCAAGGAGUGCGAAUGUGCUUGUGAAUCCCUGGCUGUGAGGGGCUAGCUUGCAUGUCUGGUCGCAACUUACCUGGGCCCUGACGCCCAAGCAGCUGACGGAAUGGUUCCUUCUGACCCGUCUUGAAACACGGACCAAGGAGUCUAACGUACGUGCGAGUUCGCGGGUGACGAAAGCCUGCUUGCGAAGUGAAAGCGAUGGCUGGGACAUUCGUGCCAGUGGCCAACCAAUCAAUUGCGAGAGGCUUGAGCACAAGCACAUCUGUUGGGUCCCGAAAGAUGGUGAACUAUGCUUGAGAAGGGCAAACUCAGGGGAAACUCUGAUGGAGGCUCGUAGCGAUACUGACGUGCAAAUCGUUCGUCGGACUUGGGAAAUAGGGGCGAAAGACUAAUCGAACCAUCUAGUAGUGUUUCCCCUCUCCGA
rnacentral:rRNA from 1 species